AAGAUUGCGAAUGCAUAUGUUCAAACUCUUUAUGUCAUUUUUAGUAACAACAAACACAAGAACUAUGUCAAUUGGAUAUACUUUGAUACUAUAACUGCCCUUGGAUUUUUACUAGAUAACAGUUUUGUUCGCCUUUGAGAAUCCGUAUAUCGUCAAGUGCGGGAGUUCCUCGCUGCAUUGAAGACCCCAUUGGUGGCCCACGGCUUUUGACUGCUCUUUAGUCGG
rnacentral:lncRNA from 1 species